rnacentral:rRNA from 1 species
UACGGAAAGCAGCAGUGGGGAAUAUUGCACAAUGGGCGCAAGCCUGAUGCAGCCAUGCCGCGUGUAUGAAGAAGGCCUUCGGGUUGUAAAGUACUUUCAGCGGGGAGGAAGGGAGUAAAGUUAAUACCUUUGCUCAUUGACGUUACCCGCAGAAGAAGCACCGGCUAACUCCGUGCCAGCAGCCGCGGUAAUACGGAGGGUGCAAGCGUUAAUCGGAAUUACUGGGCGUAAAGCGCACGCAGGCGGUUUUGUUAAGUCAGAUGUGAAAUCCCCGGGCUCAACCUGGGAACUGCAUCUGAUACUGGCAAGCUUGAGUCUCGUAGAGGGGGUAGAAUUCCAGGUGUAGCGGUGAAAUGCGUAGAGAUCUGGAGGAAUACCGGUGGCGAAGGCGGCCCCUGGGACGAAGACUGACGCUCAGGGUGCGAAAGCGUGGGGAGCAAACAGGAUUAGGAUACC